GGUUGUGUAGUGUAAUGGUUAGCACAUGGGAUUUUGAUUCCCAUAAUCCCGGUUCGAUCCCGGGCAUGACCU
rnacentral:tRNA from 1 species